CGGGGGCCGUCCGGACUCCUGGCUGGUGCGCCUCUGCGGGACGGUGUGUCCGGCACUCGGCGCCGCCGCCCCGCCGGAGCCGGGGACCCCAUCGUCCUCAGUGGUGCGGGAAGCCGGAGGGGAAGCCGGCGCUUUUGUUUGGCUUUGGUUGAAAAAGAAUUUAGCCUAUAUGUACUGCUUUAACCACUGGAAGAAUGACAGAUGACAAAGAUGUGCUUCGAGAUGUGUGGUUUGGACGAAUUCCAACUUGCUUCACUCUGUAUCAGGAUGAGAUAACUGAAAGGGAGGCUGAACCAUAUUAUUUGCUUUUGCCAAGAGUAAGUUACUUGACGUUGGUAACUGACAAAGUGAAAAAGCACUUUCAGAAGGUUAUGAGACAAGAAGACAUUAGUGAGAUAUGGUUUGAAUAUGAAGGCACACCACUGAAAUGGCAUUAUCCAAUUGGUUUGCUAUUUGAUCUUCUUGCAUCAAGUUCAGCUCUUCCUUGGAACAUCACAGUACAUUUUAAGAGUUUUCCAGAAAAGGACCUUCUGCACUGUCCAUCUAAGGAUGUAAUUGAAGCUCAUUUUAUGUCCUGCGUGAAAGAAGCUGAUGCUUUAAAGCACAAAAGUCAAGUAAUCAAUGAAAUGCAGAAAAAAGAUCAUAAGCAACUCUGGAUGGGUUUACAAAAUGAUAGAUUUGACCAAUUUUGGGCCAUCAAUCGGAAACUCAUGGAAUAUCCUGCAGAAGAAAAUGGAUUUCGUUACAUCCCUUUUAGAAUAUAUCAGACAACAACUGAACGGCCUUUCAUUCAGAAGCUUUUUCGUCCUGUGGCUCCAGAUGGACAACUGCACACACUAGGAGAUCUUCUAAAAGAAGUUUGUCCUUCUGCAGUUGCCCCUGAAGGAGGAAUGGAGAAGGGGGACAUCUAAAGUACCAUCAGAACCGGUACCAGAAGGGAUUGAUAAAGAAGAUCAUUGACCACUUCUCAAAAUUAUGAAAAUUGAACAAAUAUGAUUGCCUCAAGAGAUUAUAAAGGAUCUGUGGGGAGUAUUCGAAACAUCAAGUCACUCUUUCAAUAAAGAACUGUUUACUGUCUAGUUCAGCACACCUGUGAUGCUGUCAAUUGUGAAGCAUUUUGAAACACCUGCACCCAACUUAAGUUGAAAGCAAAAGACUAAGGUUGGGCGGGUAUGGAUAAGAACUGGCUGUCAUCACGUGAUAAAAAGAGAAAGUGCUUCAUAAAAGUUAUUUGGCACCAUUGUCUACGACUCCUUACAACAAAUGAUUCAUGCAUGAAGGAAUUUUGCCUUAUUUCAUCACAUGAAGAUAGAAUGUACUAAUAUUCACAAAGACAUGCUUUAGGUCAUUGUUCUUGUGGAAUAACUAAUGAUGAGCUGCUUUAUGUGUUUCUUCUGUUAUUGUUUUAUAAGUGGCAGAGGAGUUAGUCAGGGUAACAGGAAGUAACCAAAGGUGAACUCAGGUAAGGUUUUUCUGUGGUGUCAGUUAUAGUUAAGAUAAUUCAGAGCUAAGCUUUCUGUACCAGACCUGAAGUGAAAUAUUUCUUUGUUCAUUAAAAACAACGUACAAAAAUAAACAAAUUAAAGAAACCUAAAACUAAAGACCAUAGCUUUUUUACUUUGAAGAAUACAAAACACCUAUAAGCUUUGCCCAAUCAUAUUUCAUUUCCCAAUUUUCUAAUGUAAUGUAUAAAAAUCUAGUAAGUUAAAGGACUCUGAAAAUAACAGCGACCAUUCUCGCCUUUAUAAAUUUAUUUCAAAGUUCCAGCUGAUCAGUUCUCUGUAACAGUUGGGUUGUUGUAAUCCUGAAUUUAUAUUUGAUAUUGUACAAAUGAAGUGUAUGUGUAGGGCAAGGCUUACAUUCAAUGGCAAAUUAGUCAGGUUUCUCUGCAUCUCUCUUACCAGCAAGUACAAUCCUCUAGCCACUUAUCUUUUUCCAUUUCUGCCCUGCUUCCUGGGAAUUUAUUUACUCCUUGAGACCCUUCUCACUUACCAUUUAAUUUUUGAGUUCCAUUUGAUGUUGUAGAUUUCAUUAUUCAUCAGUCAAUUUCUUCACAUCAUACUGUCUUCUACACUGGGGUUACUGGGAUGUGUAAGACCUAUUCCCUGCUUUUAAGAAACUUUAGUCCAGUUGGAGUGGGCAGAAAGAAGCACAGAUAUGGCUUGUGUAGGAUUGGAGAUAUGCAGAGAAUAUUAGAAAGAAUUAUUGUCUUAUCUAUUCUGGAGUGGGUAGUAAAGACCGAGCUAAGUCUUAAAAGAUGAGCAGAAGUUAGUUGCAAAGGAGGGACCAGGUCACACAUACCAGAUGACCACUGUAGUAGAAUCCUUCACCAGCUACCCAGGGGCUUGUUGCUAAAGGGUAAUGUCUGGUCUGAAAUGCUCAUUUAAAAUGUCCCUACUCUAUUUGUGAAGGACUAGCCUUUUUUUUCUACUUUUCUCCUAUAAAUGUGCAUAAGAUUUUCAGUGAGUUCAGAGAUGUAGGGGAAAGCACUGAGGAACUAAGUAACUAAGAUUGAUCUGUUAUUUGCUUGGUUAGUACAUUGGAAGAUAGUUAUAACAACUGAGGCUAAGGGAGUCAUAGUAUCUGAUUUAGGUAGUCUAACUUGAAAAUUAUAUUUUUUACACACUUUAUGAGAAAGCACAGAGUACUUUCUACAAAAAAUAAGAAAAGAUAACGUAUUCACAUUUUUUCUCCUUCGCUCUGUAACGUAUGAUUAGAUUGUUUUAUAAAGUGAAUUAACUGAUGUUGCAAUAAUUUUCUUCAGACAUAAAGCAAUUAGAGACAAGAAAUAUCUAGAUCUCAUGUUACUCAUCUGAAGCAGAUCCUUCAAUUUGAAUUGUGAACCAACAGUUGGUGCUUUUGUCAGCAUGAUGACACUGACCCCCUCAAAGAGGUGGCAUUUCAAUUUGCCAGUUCAUACCACAGAAACGUAAGACCUUCAAACCCCAAAUUUCAUCAGAAUGAGGGUUCGGAAGUAAGAAUAAUAAUCACUUUACGGUUUUAUUAGUUCUUUUUUCACUCAUUUAAAAUUGUUUUUAUUCUAGUAUCCCUUUGUACCUUCACACUGUUUGAUUUAGAAGGUCAUUCAGUAGUUGCUUUUUUUUUUUAUUAAUGGUUCUUACUCUAAAAAAUAGGGAUGUUACCCGCUAUCCACCUGAUGGUUAGAAGGUUUAAAUGAACAAAAGGUUUAGUUAAGUGAGAUUUCAUGAUUUCAUAUUUUUCCAAGGUUUUACAACUAACAUUACUGUUUUCUUAUGGGUUUGUUAUUAUUUUUUCACAAAUAACUGUACUCAUAAGAAAUUUACCAAGUGGAGUUAGCAAGAAGCAGUUUUGUUUUUUCUUGUUGUCAUUUGUUUUUAAUCCCACUCUGCAGAGAAAGGGACUUGUUGAUGUUCAGCAUCUGCACGGAAGAUAUAAAUGUGCAAUGAGCUCUAAAUGUAAACUGAUGUUGUAACUGCUUCUACCUCGGAUUAUGGCAGGAGUUCCAUGCUACUGAGCUUUCUGCUUUUUUUAGAAAUUAAUUUAUGGAUGUGAUUAGGAGUGCCAGAAGUGUGGCUCUGAUAGGAAAUAAGUAAACUUAUUCUACUACAGCAUCUCCAUAGUCACUGCAGCCAGCUGGAUUAUCAUAUACUUGUUAAAAUAUAUUAAAAGGAAAAAUCUUAAGGCAGGAGGUCUGAAAGUGUUGCUGCUAGUGAAAGUUUCUCACUGAAGACUGUAAGCAACAGAACACACAUUUGUUUGAAGUUUCAGCUGGUCACAAGUAACCUUGGAAGACCCAUUCAUAAUUUUGCUGUAAUACCAUGAGCCUGACAUGUGGGACUGGGUCACUGGACUGUAAUGUCAUCCUAACACUCUCUGCUUUUCAUUGUUUUCUCUCCCUGGAUGGGCAUUUUAUGUUAAAAAAAAAAAAAAAAAAAGAAAAAAGAUACAGUGUCAUUCACAGUGGUAAAACAAAAAGUUCUUCAAAUAUAGCCCUCAUGGACAAAGGUCUACUAUACUCAAGUUUGGACAGAAGCAAUUUAUUAGGCUUAUUUUAAACUUGAUAAUUACAACAUAUUUUCUUAAGUUAUCAUUAUGCCACCAAACUCUAAACUGAGUCAAACUCUUUGCCUCAGUUGUUUCAUUCUUCCUUCAUCUCUGUGCUUUGUCUCAACACGUGGGUAGUAUGGACUAAUCUCAGUGAUGCAGUCUGUUAAUGACUUAAUCCAUUAUACAUGUCUUUUCUAAAAUCAAAGAAAUAAUAAACUAAUUAUUUUUGUUGUUCUUCAUUAGCGAAGAUGAGAUUACUGGGCCUGUCAGAAGAUGCCUGAUUUCCUUUAUUCCCAAGAAGUUAAAUGAAUUAACUUGACUUUUUCAAAAGUGGGAACAGAUACUUGCACAAUUAAUAUUUCAUCUUUAGCACUAGAAAACAAAAUUCCCUUAACAAAAUAAUAACACAUGCAGGUAAUUAAAAGCAAGUCAUCUCUUCAUUAAAACAAGUCCUGUGAGACCUCAGUCUGGCCGUAUAUAAACAGUGUAAUUAUUGCCUAUAUUUUAAAUAAAACUGUUAGUUCUGAACUAUUCUGUAAUUCAAACUUGACAAAUAUAAAUGGGCCCUAUUACACCCAACUAGAAUUACUGGAUCAUUUUAGGAAAGCAGAUUAAAAACAUUUGAACCUAUAUUUUCAAAGUUUUACUUCGUUUUGGGGAGGUUUUCUUGAAAUGAACAAGUUUUGUUUUUAAUUGAAGUAUGGUUGAUUUACAGUGUUGUAUUUCUGGUGUACAGCAUAGUGGUUCAGAUACAUAUGUGUGUAUGUAUAUAUAUAUUCCUUUUCCUAUUCUUUUUCAAUAUAGACUAUUACAAGAUAUUGGAUAUAGUUUCCUAUGGUAUACAGUAGGACCUUGUUGCUCCUCUGAAAUGAACAAAUUUUAAUUCCUAACUUGUAUCAUAUUUUUAUCUUAUUAUCAAGAGCCAUUUAAUCAGUCUAUUUAAAUGGUCUUAUAAUCAAUUAAUCUAAUACACUGUUCUUAUAGCUAAUUUGGGGGGAUUUUCUUAAGUUUAAAUUUUGGUUUAUUACCUCCUCAUUAAGAAAUAUAAAGGUUAUAAAGCAAAAGUCAGUGGAAGAAUUAACAUAGACAGGCUUUGAAAGCUUAUAUAGAAUGUUAAGAGGCAAGGCUCUGGGAAUAUUUUGGACAGAAGUAAAAUAUAUAUAUAAAUAUAUAUAAAAUAUAAAAUGUACACAUGGAAAAAGAUACGUGGUAUAUAUUAACUGUGAUAUCAUAUGUUCAUUAAAACCUGUACUACUAAGUGAGCGUAGAUCCGGAAGAAGUUAAUGUAAGUAUUUUUAAAUGGGUUUGUAUUUCUCUGAUAAACAGCACUCUCCUUCUGUUUGUGAUCAUAGGAUAAAAGCUCUGUAAGCUUGUAUAUGUUCAUUUUUACUGCUACAUCAUGUAGUGUGCUCUUAAGAUUGAAAUCUCAUUCCCCAGGAAGCAUUUCUGUCUAAGAUUAAUUGCCCUUUUAAAAUCAGCGUUUGAUGUAUUCCUUUGGCUAUAUCCUGGCUUGGUUUAACCCUCUUUGACCUGACCUCACUGACUAUUACUGCUGAGGCUGAGUCAGAAUCCUUCAGCAUGAUGUAUGCACUUCAGAUUUCAGCCUGUGGUUUUUCAUGUCGAUGGAUUCAAUUAGUUGGCAUUUUACUAAUGAACAUAUCAGAAGUUAAAGAAUUUGUCAGGCAGACCAAAAUUGUUCAGAAUAGUGGCAAUCAGAAAGCUCAUCUCUUUGUUUUGCACAGUAUCAAGUAUUUUUCAGAAGUUUUACCUUCAGCAUCACACAUUCCAAGAUAGCAGAUCAAGACAUUUUCUGCUGAAUUAUAAAAUAUAAAAGUGAAGUCACAAAACUAAAAACAGUGGUUACAACUUCUAGCCUUAGAUUUCUAUUACUUCGUAUUGUAUUCAUAAGUGUAAACUAAAAGACAAGUUAUUAAUGUGAAAUUUUCUGAUUAAAAGUACUUUCCCUUGAAGAUAUAUCAUCCAUUUCUUUAGCUGCUUUUAAUUCUAAGAGGUUUCACAUACUUUGUUAUAUGUGUUAAUAGUAAGAAUGAAACUCAUACAUCUCUCUAGAAUCUCAAGUAACCUGCUUUUAAAGACAUUUAGGUCAUACUCCUUGUUGAUAACUGACUAAAAACUAAUGGGUAAAAUGCAGAUUGGGAUGGGGAAGGCUAUGAGCCAUUGCUGAAAGGCAGAUUCAUCACAUACUCUUAAGUUUUCAAAUAAGAACCAGAUCUAAAGUCUGUUAAGCAACAUCACCCUAGUACAAUAGGGUUCAUUUGACUUAUCCGGGAUGCUCUACUGAGUAUACGUAUUGAGAGCACUAUUAAAUUAAUCCAGAGGGUUAACAGUGUUUAAGGAAUUCUUUAAUGUCAUUCAUUUUGUUGUUUGCAUAAUGAUUGAGUCUUUGGGUUUUUGUUUUUGUCAUCUUUUUUUUUUCUUAACACAUUCAUAAAAUCCAUGUGCCACACUGCAUAAUAAUGGGGCUGAGUAAUGCAGAGUAUAUAUUAAAAUGAGGCCAAAUUCUCACGGCCCUUUGCAUGCCAGCCAGGCAUUGAAUCGAUAAUUGAAUCCAUUUUUUUUUAGUAUCUUUUGAUAUAUCUAAUAUUGAAAUAAUUACCUUAUUCCCAUAACUUUAUUGAAUACUUACUAUGUGCAAGCCCUGUGCUAGGCUCUGUGCUGAGUACUUUAUUUGGAUAUCUCAUUUGAUCCUCUGUUCAACCCUGGAGAUUAGAAUUCUUUAUCAACACUGUAGGAGGAGGAAACUGAGACUACGGAGGUUAAGUGAUUUGCCUAAGAAUUCACAGCUAUUGUAUUAUGCUGAUUUAAACUGUAAAAGAAAUAUUUUGCUCUUUAGGCAUUAAAGACUCAUUUACUAGAACUGGAAGACAUGUUACCAGUCCUCUGUUUUAGACCUAGUUUACACGUUGACCCAUGGAGUUGUAUCAGAAACUGCCAGGGGUCAUAAGUCAGCAAUCAUCUGGUAAGGGAACAUUAAAAAAAACAGACUAUCCCCCAGAGAUUGAUCUAGAUCUGGAGAGGGGCCAGCUAUGUAUUUUUAAAAAUCUUCGAAGUGAUUCUGAUGGUCAGCCAGAUUUGCAAACUAUGGAUCUAGACAGACACCUUCAUUUUAUAUAUAAAGAAACACUCUAAAAGAGAUAUGAAGUCUGCCCAAAGUCCUUCAUUACCAGAAUUAGAAUUCAAGUUCCCUACCUCCCAAUUCAUGUCUUUUUUAAGUUCAUAAUUUUCAUUAAUGACUUGUCUAGCUAAAGUGAAUUUUCUUUCUUUUUUUGGUUUCUAUAUGUAAUUCUUAUCACUUUCAUCAUAUAAUCAAAAUCUGUUUAAAUAAAGUUCCCUUAAAAUGACACACAACUCUGAAAAUGCUCACUUUAAAGUGAAUGCUAGUUAAGAAUUGAGUUUGUUUUAAUUAGGCUGUUGGUGAUAAUACAACAUCAUAUGAUGCAUUUACAUUUUUAUCUUUUAAAAUAUUUGGGCUUAUAAGUGAGAUAAGUAUAAGAAAUGAAAUUUUGUGAUAUUUCAAUACAUGAUAUAGAUUUAAUAUCUAACUUACUACUGUACCAAAAGAAGAUGCAUGUCUCUGACAUUUGUUCCUGUCCUUUUCCUUAAUUCACAAACCCAAAGUAUUUAUGAAUGACUAUUCUUAUGUUUACAAGAUAAAUUAAAAGAAUUUUUUUUAAUUGCUAUGUGGACAUUCUGCGAAAUAAUGACAUGUAUUCUUCAAAAUUGUCAAGGUUAAGAAAUGCAGAGAAAGACUAAAAACUGUCCAAGUUAAAGGAGAGUAUAGAGACUUGAAAAUUAAAUGCAAUGUGUGAUUCCUGGACUGUAUCCUAGAAUGGAGAAGAAAAUAAUCAGGAUAGUUGAUAAAAUUUGAAAUGAUUACAUAACAGUAUUGUAUUAAUGUUAAUUUUUAAAUUUUGAUAACUAUAUUGUGGUUAUAUAAAAGAAUAUUUUUAUUGGAAGGAAUACACUAAAAUAUUUAAGGGUAAAGGACUCCGUUUCUAAUGUACUCUUAAAUGAUUCAGAAGUUACAUAUUUACAGAAUGAUAAAGUUAAUGGGGCAAAAUGUAAACAAUUGAUGACUCUGGAUGAAGAGGAAUUCCUUGUGCUGUUUUGCAGGUUUUCUAUGGGGAAAAAAAGAAUCAAGUGAUGAUUCAUGGAAUUGAGCCAAUGUUGGAAACACCUUUGCAGUGGCUGAGUGAACAUCUGAGCUACCCGGAUAAUUUUCUUCAUAUUAGUAUCAUCCCGCAACCAACAGAUUGAAG